rnacentral:rRNA from 1 species
UCAACGCUGGCGGCGUGCCUAAUACAUGCAAGUCGAGCGAACAGACGAGGAGCUUGCUCCUCUGACGUUAGCGGCGGACGGGUGAGUAACACGUGGAUAACCUACCUAUAAGACUGGGAUAACUUCGGGAAACCGGAGCUAAUACCGGAUAAUAUAUUGAACCGCAUGGUUCAAUAGUGAAAGACGGUUUUGCUGUCACUUAUAGAUGGAUCCGCGCCGCAUUAGCUAGUUGGUAAGGUAACGGCUUACCAAGGCAACGAUGCGUAGCCGACCUGAGAGGGUGAUCGGCCACACUGGAACUGAGACACGGUCCAGACUCCUACGGGAGGCAGCAGUAGGGAAUCUUCCGCAAUGGGCGAAAGCCUGACGGAGCAACGCCGCGUGAGUGAUGAAGGUCUUCGGAUCGUAAAACUCUGUUAUUAGGGAAGAACAAAUGUGUAAGUAACUAUGCACGUCUUGACGGUACCUAAUCAGAAAGCCACGGCUAACUACGUG